rnacentral:rRNA from 1 species
UAUUUUAUACCUUUGUUGCUUUGGCGGGCCGCUUCGGCUACCGGCUUCGGCUGGUGAGUGCCCGCCAGAGGACCCCAAACUCUGAAUUAUAGUGUCGUCUGAGUACUAUAAAAUAGUUAAAACUUUCAACAACGGAUCUCUUGAUUCUGGCAUCGAUGAAGAACGCAGCGAAAUGCGAUAAGUAAUGUGAAUUGCAGAAUUCAGUGAAUCAUCGAAUCUUUGAGCGCACAUUGCGCCCCUUGGUAUUCCGAGGGGCAUGCCUGUUCGAGCGUCAUUAUAACCCCUCAAGCUCGGCUUGGUGUUGGGGCCUGCCGCACGGGCAGCCCUUAAAAUCAGUGGCGGUGCCAUCUGGCUCUAAGCGUAGUAAUUCUUCUCGCUAUAGAGUCCCGGUGGAUGCUUGCCAUUAACCCCCAAUUUCAAUGGAUGACCUCGGAUCAGGUAGGGAUACCCGCUGAACUUAAGCAUAUCAAUAAGCUGGAGG